GACGAACGCUGGCGGCGUGCUUAACACAUGCAAGUCGAACGAUGAAGCCGGAGCUUGCUCUGGUGAAUUAGUGGCGAACGGGUGAGUAACACGUGAGUAACCUGCCCUUGACUCUGGGAUAACUGCUAGAAAUGGUAGCUAAUACCGGAUACGACCCUCGGAGGCAUCUUCAGGGGGUGGAAAGAAUUUCGGUCAAGGAUGGACUCGCGGCCUAUCAGCUAGUUGGUGAGGUAAGGGCUCACCAAGGCGACGACGGGUAGCCGGCCUGAGAGGGUGACCGGCCACACUGGGACGGAGACACGGCCCAGACUCCUACGGGAGGCAGCAGUGGGGAAUAUUGCACAAUGGGCGCAAGCCUGAUGCAGCAACGCCGCGUGAGGGAUGACGGCCUUCGGGUUGUAAACCUCUUUUAGUAGGGAAGAAGCGAAAGUGACGGUACCUGCAGAAAAAGCACCGGCUAACUACGUGCCAGCCGCCGCGGUAA
rnacentral:rRNA from 1 species